AACGAACGCUGGCGGCAGGCCUAACACAUGCAAGUCGAGCGCCCCGCAAGGGGAGCGGCGGACGGGUGAGUAACGCGUGGGAACGUACCUUUUGCUUCGGAAUAGCCUCGGGAAACUGGGAGUAAUACCGAAUGUGCCCUUCGGGGGAAAGAUUUAUCGGCAAAAGAUCGGCCCGCGUUGGAUUAGGUAGUUGGUGGGGUAAUGGCCUACCAAGCCGACGAUCCAUAGCUGGUUUGAGAGGAUGAUCAGCCACACUGGGACUGAGACACGGCCCAGACUCCUACGGGAGGCAGCAGUGGGGAAUCUUAGACAAUGGGCGCAAGCCUGAUCUAGCCAUGCCGCGUGAGCGAUGAAGGCCUUAGGGUUGUAAAGCUCUUUCGUGGGGGAAGAUAAUGACUGUACCCCAAGAAGAAGCCCCGGCUAACUCCGUGCCAGCCGCCGCGGUAA
rnacentral:rRNA from 1 species